UAUGAUUACCUUAACUCUCCAUACCUGUUAAUAGUAUUUGGACUAUAAAUAACUAUAUAUUGUUAGAUUAUUUUAUAGAUAGAAUAUGUCAAUCUCAAGAUUCUUUUAUGGCAACAAUAUCCAAUUCAACCACUACACUAUAUGACAAUACGAAUAUCCCAAUUGAACCCAUCCCACCAUCUCAACACAAAACACUACUUACAUUUCUUCCCCUGAAUCUCUUUUACCACCACUACCACCACCCAUCAUCAAACUCCCCUCC
rnacentral:lncRNA from 1 species